rnacentral:rRNA from 1 species
GACGAACGCUGGCGGCGUGCCUAAUACAUGCAAGUCGAACGCAGUGGGGACGGGUGAGUAACACGUGGGUAACCUCCCAUCAGAGGGGAUAACACUUGGACAUAGGUGCUAAACCGAUACUGAUGGAUGGAUCCGCGUUGGAUUAGCUAGUUGGUGAGGUAACGGCGCACCAAGGACACGAUGCAGAGCCGACCUGAGAGGGUGAUCGGCCUCCCUGGGACUGAGACACGGCCCAGACUCCUACGGGAGGCAGCAGUAGGGAUUCUUCGGCAAUGGACGAAAGUCUGACCGAGCAACGCCGAGUGAGUGAAGAAGGUUUUCGGAGCGUAAAACUCUGUUGUUAGAGAAGCGUUAUCUAACCAGAAAGCCACGGCUAACUACGUGCCAGCAGCCGCGGUAAUUC